CAGCACCUUUGCGAGUACUGUUUGCAGUGUGAAACGGGGCUGCUGGGGGAGACUUAACAUCCAUUUAGUGAAUACAAAAACAUUUAAACUUCACGAUAGUAAAUAAAUGAUACCACAAAUAACAUAAUGACUUCCUUUUACCUGGACCAUAUUGAAAAUGCAAAUCUGCCGGACCAAAGUUCUACAUCUUGGAAACGUAUAGAAGGAG